GCAUCAGUUGAUAGUUUACAUUAUAGCUCUGUUAGCUUAGCUCUGUUAAUUUGGCUCUGUUAGCUUGGCUCUGUUAGUGUAGCUGUGUUCACUUAGCUCUGUUAGCUUGGCUCUGUUAGCUUAGCUCUGUUAGCUUGGCUCUGUUAGUUUGGCUCUGUUAGUUUAGCUCUGUUAGCUUGGCUCUGUUAGCUUAGCUCUGU